GUUUGAUGGGCUUUCAUGUGCUUCUCUCGAGGUGCCGGAGGAUGGGCAUCCUUCAUUGGCAGCGUUACUCUUAUUAGGGCGUUCGGGGAGGUGGCAAUCAAUUGCUACGGUUAAGUUCUGCCAGGUUCUACUGGCUUUCGUGACAAUGGUGACCGACUUCAUUUGAAAGAAUUCCAUCUCUUCUAUCGCAGGAUCGUUGAGGCUGACUUCUAUUCAUCAAAUUAGUCAAACCCCAUCAGGGGGGUGCUACCCUUGGACCACCGACAUAUCUACGAAGCAUACAACAAUGAACAAAUAGAGCCUAAUGUUUGACGCCUAGUUAGAGGUGCCCUUGACCAGCUGACCUCGAGCACAACUUGCGUUCAAAGACUAUGGUUCGUGGGAUUCUACAAUUCACAUUAUGUAUUGCAUUUCGCUGCGCUCUUCAUCAACGCGAGAGCCGAGAGUCAUGUCAAUCCAUCUGGCGUGCAACAACACCCCAUGCCACGAAACCUAUUUUAGGGCUCAUGUUUUGAUAUACGAAAGGCUUUGUUUAUCGUAAUGAGAUCAAGGCUUGAUGUUUUUUUUGUUAUUGUAAGAGCCUAAUGGUCUUUAUGAUUUUGUGUUGACGCAUAUUGAGAGAGAGUUGAUUGCAAAUGAUUGGUUCAUAUUGCCAAAGUUUGCUUUUUCUUAUCUCUAGAGCGGGCAAACAAGUAUAAAAAUGGAGACAACAUGAGAUUUUGUAUGCCAAUUGUAACGAAAAGCUUUGUUAUCCAUGAAAAAAAGUAUUUGGUUCAUCAAAAAUAUUCUUUUAUCAUGGUUCACCCACAGUUGCAAUGAGAACCUA